GGGUGAGUAAUGUCUGGGAAACUGCCUGAUGGAGGGGGAUAACUACUGGAAACGGUAGCUAAUACCGCAUAACGUCGCAAGACCAAAGAGGGGGACCUUCGGGCCUCUUGCCAUCAGAUGUGCCCAGAUGGGAUUAGCUAGUAGGUGGGGUAACGGCUCACCUAGGCGACGAUCCCUAGCUGGUCUGAGAGGAUGACCAGCCACACUGGAACUGAGACACGGUCCAGACUCCUACGGGAGGCAGCAGUGGGGAAUAUUGCACAAUGGGCGCAAGCCUGAUGCAGCCAUGCCGCGUGUAUGAAGAAGGCCUUCGGGUUGUAAAGUACUUUCAGCGGGGAGGAAGGUGUUGAGGUUAAUAACCUCAGCAAUUGACGUUACCCGCAGAAGAAGCACCGGCUAACUCCGUGCCAGCAGCCGCGGUAAUACGGAGGGUGCAAGCGUUAAUCGGAAUUACUGGGCGUAAAGCGCACGCAGGCGGUCUGUCAAGUCGGAUGUGAAAUCCCCGGGCUCAACCUGGGAACUGCAUUCGAAACUGGCAGGCUAGAGUCUUGUAGAGGGGGGUAGAAUUCCAGGUGUAGCGGUGAAAUGCGUAGAGAUCUGGAGGAAUACCGGUGGCGAA
rnacentral:rRNA from 1 species